rnacentral:rRNA from 1 species
UACGUAGGGUGCAAGCGUUGUCCGGAAUUAUUGGGCGUAAAGAGCUCGUAGGCGGUCUGUCGCGUCGGUCGUGAAAACUUGGGGCUUAACCCUGAGCUUGCGGUCGAUACGGGCAUGACUGGAGUUCGGUAGGGGAGACUGGAAUUCCUGGUGUAGCGGUGAAAUGCGCAGAUAUCAGGAGGAACACCGGUGGCGAAGGCGGGUCUCUGGGCCGAUACUGACGCUGAGGAGCGAAAGCGUGGGGAGCGAACGGG